rnacentral:rRNA from 1 species
AGCGUAGACGGUGUGGCAAGUCUGAUGUGAAAGGCAUGGGCUCAACCUGUGGACUGCAUUGGAAACUGUCAUACUUGAGUGCCGGAGGGGUAAGCGGAAUUCCUAGUGUAGCGGUGAAAUGCGUAGAUAUUAGGAGGAACACCAGUGGCGAAGGCGGCUUACUGGACGGUAACUGACGUCGAGGCUCGAAAGCGUGGGAGCAAACA